ACACAUUACGUCGAUUACGGUACGCACACGAUAAGAUGGACCCGUUACGAUAAACAACCUGGUUUACGGAUUAACAGUUGCCAUAAGACCCGUUCCUCUUGUUCCGUUCUGCGUAACCUGUAGAGUUAGAGUAAAAGUAAAAACUUCAUCUGAUGGAAAACCUGUCCUUUAAAUUCUCUUACGGUUCUUUUGGCUUCCGAUCGUUCUGAAAGUCCUCUAAUUUUACGUUUCUUAGCCAAUUGUUCCCCUCACUCGGAUCGAGUUGACCAACCCCCUCACCUACAUGUUUGGGUUGUGGACCAAAACUUAGGAGUGCCUCCGCUUAAAUCCAAGGAUAAAUAAGAACUCCUGGUCCGAAAGGACCAUGAGUGCGUGAAUAACUCCUGACCCGAGCCACGCAUUAGCUCUAAUUUUUAGGAUCAUGAGUAUGAAUUUUCCGGCAUACGUAGGGAUCAACCACGUCUCCGGCCCCUUUACUUUAAGAGGGGGUUAUUUUUCACCGGCGUACGUAGCGGGUCUAUGUCUCCGGCCCCCAGUAGGAGGAAAAGAUUAAAAAAACAUGUCCAUCCAUAUAUUAUCCUACGUCCCAGAUGGUGAAGUCUUAUUCCACCAUAAUUUUCGAUUUCGUGUAAACGUUGAUUAAACUAAUUCACUUUACAUCCUUCUUCACUCAAUCUCAUAUAUUGACUUCUAACAGUAGUGUUGUUAACAUCUACGUCUUUGUACUCCCUGACCCACAUACUUAUUCGAAAAAAACUGGGAGUCAUGAUUCGGGUUUAAAACAGAACACUUGCCAUUAUGUUGAGAAAAUGUAGGAAGAGAACUCUUAAAAACUGUCAGUGUUCAACACUGAAUCCGACGACAGUGCUACAACCUACUUGUGUGUUAUACCACUAUUCACAACCCAUACACUGAUUUAAAUCGAUACCUUAAAUAAUACAAUCGUUGAGAUGGAACCUAGACUUGAUUGUC
rnacentral:rRNA from 1 species